rnacentral:rRNA from 1 species
AUACGUAGGGAGCAAGCGUUGUCCGGAAUUACUGGGCGUAAAGGGCGUGUAGGCGGCCGAUCAAGUCAGGUGUGAAAUUUCAGGGCUCAACCCUGAGCGUGCACUUGAAACUGGUUGGCUUGAGUGCAGAAGAGGAAAGUGGAAUUCCCAGUGUAGCGGUGGAAUGCGUAGAUAUUGGGAGGAACACCAGUGGCGAAGGCGACUUUCUGGUCUGUAACUGACGCUGAGGCGCGAAAGCUAGGGGAGCGAACAGGAUUAGAUACCCUGGUAGUCCACGCUGUAAACGAUGAAUACUAGGUGUGGGGGGACUGACCCCCUCCGUGCCGCAGUUAACACAAUAAGUAUUCCACCUGGGGAGUACGAUCGCAAGAUUGAAACUCAAAGGAAUUGACGGGG